CUCCCAGUAAUGUGAACAUUCCACGGAAUUCAAAACUUCAUGAAAGAAUGGCUUCCACUAUGUUGGUGUUUUACAUGGUUUUGGGAUAUUCAGAUGAACUUGAAUUUGUUGGAAGGCUUUUUCUUAGCACUGGAUUUACCGAGUCUCUGUGUUUG